rnacentral:tRNA from 1 species
GAUUCCAUAGUGUAGCAGCACGUCUGCUUUACACACAGAAGAUCCUGGGUUCACGCCCCAGUGGAGCCA